UACGUAGGGUGCGAGCGUUGUCCGGAAUUAUUGGGCGUAAAGAGCUCGUAGGCGGCUUGUCACGUCGGAUGUGAAAACCCGGGGCUCAACUCCGGGCCUGCAGUCGAUACGGGCUGGCUUGAGUGCGGUAGGGGAGACUGGAAUUCCUGGUGUAGCGGUGAAAUGCGCAGAUAUCAGGAGGAACACCGGUGGCGAAGGCGGGUCUCUGGGCCGUAACUGACGCUGAGGAGCGAAAGCGUGGGGAGCGAACAGG
rnacentral:rRNA from 1 species